rnacentral:rRNA from 1 species
UACGUAGGGUGCGAGCGUUGUCCGGAUUUAUUGGGCGUAACGAGCGUGUAGGCGGCCAGACAGGUCCGUUGUGAAAACUCGAGGCUCAACCUCGAGACGCCGAUGGAAACCGUCUGGCUAGAGUCCGGAAGAGGAGAGUGGAAUUCCUGGUGUAGCGGUGAAAUGCGCAGAUAUCAGGAAGAACACCCGUGGCUAAGGCGGCUCUCUAGUACGGUACUGACGCUGAGACGCGAAAGCGUGGGGAGCGAACAGG